rnacentral:rRNA from 1 species
UGAUACUGUUAUUCUUGAGUACGGUCAAGGUAGGGGGAUGGUAAUGUAGCGUGGAAUGCUAUAAUACCAGAACCCAUUGCGAAGGCAGCUUACUGGGCAUUACUGACGCUGAUGCACGAAGGCGUGGGGAGCGAACAGGAUUAGAUACCCUGGUAGUCCACGCNGUAAACGAUGAUCACUCGCUGUUUGCGAUACACAGGUAGCGGNUAAGCAAAGGCAUUUAGUGAUCCACCUGGGGAGUACGGCCGCAAGGCUGAAACUCAAAGGAAUUGACGGGGGCCCGCACAAGCGGAGGGACAUGUGGUUUAAUUCGAUGAUACGCGAGGGACCUUACCUGGGCUUAAAUGCAGAGUGCAUGAGGUAGAAAUACUUCUUUCCUUCGGGACUCUUUGCAAGGUGCUGCAUGGUUGUCGUCAGCUCGUGCCGUGAGGUGUCGGGUUAAGUCCCAUAACGAGCGCAACCCUUAUCGUUAGUUGCCAGCGGGUAAUGCCGGGAACUCUAACGAAACUGCCGGUGUAAACCGUGAGGAAGGUGGGGAUGACGUCAAAUCAGCACGGCCCUUAUGUCCAGGGCUACACACGUGUUACAAUGGCCGGUACAGAGGGCAGCUACCUGGAGACAGGAUGCGAAUCUCCAAAGCCGGUCUCAGUUCGGAUCGGAGUCUGCAACUCGACUCCGUGAAGCUGGAUUCGCUAGUAAUCGCGCAUCAGCCAUG